rnacentral:rRNA from 1 species
UACGUAGGGUGCAAGCGUUGUCCGGAAUUAUUGGGCGUAAAGAGCUUGUAGGCGGUUUGUCGCGUCUGCUGUGAAAUUUCGGGGCUCAACCCCGAACUUGCAGUGGGUACGGGCAGACUAGAGUGUGGUAGGGGAGACUGGAAUUCCUGGUGUAGCGGUGAAAUGCGCAGAUAUCAGGAGGAACACCGGUGGCGAAGGCGGAUCUCUGGGCCAUAACUGACGCUGGGGAGCGAAAGCAUGGGGAGCGAACAGG